GUUCCUGUAGCGCAACGGAUAGCGCGUUGGACUUCUAAUCCAAAUGUUGUGGGUUCGAAUCCUACCUGGGAUA